rnacentral:snRNA from 1 species
AACUGCACAGUGCGGUGCAU